rnacentral:rRNA from 1 species
AACGAACGCUGGCGGCAUGCCUAACACAUGCAAGUCGAACGAGACCUUCGGGUCUAGUGGCGCACGGGUGCGUAACGCGUGGGAACCUGCCCUUAGGUUCGGAAUAACUCCCCGAAAGGGGUGCUAAUACCGGAUAAUGUCUUCGGACCCAAGAUUUAUCGCCUUUGGAUGGGCCCGCGUUGGAUAAGCUAGUUGGUAGGGUAAAAGCCUACCAAGGCGACGAUCCAUAGCUGGUCUGAGAGGAUGAUCAGCCACACUGGGACUGAGACACGGCCCAGACUCCUACGGGAGGCAGCAGUGGGGAAUAUUGGACAAUGGGCGAAAGCCUGAUCCAGCAAUGCCGCGUGAGUGAUGAAGGCCUUAGGGUUGUAAAGCUCUUUUACCCGGGAUGAUAAUGACGGUACCGGGAGAAUAAGCUCCGGCUAACUCCGUG